GGCGGAUUGGUGAAAUUAUCACGUCUGAUUUUCGCUCAGGAGUUACCCAUAACGGGUAUCCGCUU
rnacentral:tRNA from 1 species